CUCGAGGGAAAGCUCGAAAGGAAAAGCCCAAAAAGGACAAUAUCUACUAGCAGUGAGCUUGAGCUGUUACAGGGGGAAUGAAAUGGGGGCAGGGAAGCCAUCCUUGGCCUUGUCCAUUCCCUUGUUUAGUGUGUUGUAUACAUAUGCAAUUUAUAAAUCUAUCGUUUGGCUUGGGAACCUUACCAAAUCAGGGCUUGUGACUUUCUCCGUGUUCAUAUAGGAUCAUCAUUUCUAAUCUUAACACCUGAGACCUCUUAGUAUCUGUAGGUUUUCUAUAAAUCUAUUGAGAAGAUGAAUACAAAUUAAUAUGAAUCAGAUAUUUCUGCAGUCGGAGUGGUACAAAGGAUUGGCUGUUCUCAGAAUGUGGAAGUUUCAGGGUUCUUGGUGCCUAAUGAGGACAUUACAUUUACUUGGAAAGACGAGGCUUCUGUUCAAGUAAUGCAAGUAUGAAAUAGACCACUUGAACUUGGAAGAUUAUGGAAGAAAAAUUUGAGUUUGUUUAAAAUGGUGGACGCUUGGAGUUGCAUUCCCAUUCUAGCAUCUGAACAGUUCUUAGCAAGCUUUGUGUGAAUGCGAUUGUGACAAAAGGCAUAUGAAGUCCUCACCAAUUCGGUUACGGCCCUUGUCGGGUGUGUCUCGCUUCCAAGUUCCAACAUCUGCUUGUUUUUUUUGAAAAGCUUUACCAAAUAAUGUACAGCACAUGAAGCCAUCUGGUUACUUACCUCGUUGGCUCGUAUCCAUGGAUUAGUAGCGCACGGUGGCUAAGUUUGUAAAUAUGAUUUUUUCCUACUCAGGGGAAGGUAACAAAGUGAAAGAAGAAUGCCAGAAUUGUGUGUUUUCACUCUUAGAUUGGUGUUCGUUUUAUUAGAGCGUUUGCAGAUUUCAGCUCAGGUUGCCUUACGUUAAAGUCGGGGUUUGUCGGUCAGCUUGACCCGACAUUGUGUGGAUCAUUUGAGAAAUGAUUGGAUUGUAAGGAAUGAAUGAAUGUCUGUCUGUUAAUGAAAGUGCUUGGAAGAUGAUCACUUUUUGCUAAUAAUCCAUGAGGUGAUGGUUGGUUUGAUUAGGCUUUGCAGGUUUGAUUGUGGACAGAGGAAGCUGUAAUUACAUGUUAUUGUGAAAAAGGCACCAAUCACGGCAAACAAACAGCGCCCAGCCCAAUCCAACACAACCCACAUGCUAAUUAUUGAGUCCAAGACCACAUUAUACAAUCAUGAAGAGAAAACUCAGCCGUGUCGGUGUCCAAAAUGUCUUGAUGCGUUUAAUUCUCAAAGUAGAGAGAGAUCUGAUAAGGUAGGUGGUUGUUUAGAUGAUUGGAAAGCUGUUGUUUUUUUUUUGUAUGAGGGAAACUUAAAUCACUGAUGAUCUCGAGGAAAAGAGUAUAUGUCAAUUAUCGUUGACUUAAACUUAGGUUAACCGAAAGGAGGUUGACAGAAAGCCAUUUUGAUCUACAUGGUAUCAAUCCGAGUGAUGGAAAAGAGUAGAUGUCAUUUAUCGUUGACUUAAACUUGGGUUAACCAAAAAGAGUUUGACAUAAAAG